rnacentral:rRNA from 1 species
AAGGAAUUGACGGGGGCCCGCACAAGCGGUGGAGCAUGUGGUUUAAUUCGAUGCAACGCGAAGAACCUUACCUGCCCUUGACAUACAGCGAACCCUAAAGAGAUUUGGGGGUGCCGAAAGGAGCGCUGAUACAGGUGCUGCAUGGCUGUCGUCAGCUCGUGUCGUGAGAUGUUGGGUUAAGUCCCGUAACGAGCGCAACCCUUGUUCUUAGUUACCAUCAGGUUAAGCUGGGUACUUUAAGAAGACUGCCGGUGACAAACCGGAGGAAGGCGGGGACGACGUCAAGUCAUCAUGGCCCUUAUGGGCAGGGCUACACACGUGCUACAAUGGUUGGUACAGAGGGAGGCGAAGCGGCGACGUGGAGCAAAACUCAGAAAGCCAAUCGUAGUCCGGAUUGAGGUCUGCAACUCGACCUCAUGAAGUCGGAAUCGCUAGUAAUCGCAAAUCAGAACGUUGCGGUGAAUACGUUCCCGGGCCUUGUACACACCGCCCGUCACACCAUGGGAGUGGGUUGCACCAGAAGCAGAUAGCUUAACCGUAAGGGGGGCGUUUGCCACGGUGUGAUUCAUGANUGGGGUGAAGUCGUAACAAGGUAGCCGUAGGGGAACCUGCGGCUGGAUCACCUCCUUA